ACAAGAGAAACACCAGGAACAUCAGAGGAGUAAACAAAUAAGGGAUUGAAAGGGUCAACAGGAGUCGUAUUAGUACGCAUGUUAGCAAUCGUGAAUAACAACGAGUUCAAAGUCAAAAUAUAGUCUCUGCAAGUAUGUUAAAAGACUAUAGUUGUAUCAAAAACUUCAUGAAAAUCAUAUAACACCUAAAAUAGGAACAGAUUUACCCUCCUUCUUCGCGACCGGAGAAGAUCGACCUUCGAUUAACAGAUAAAACCCUAGGUCCAACACCGGAAAUCGUAGGUUCUGAAACUCACCAGAAUAAGGUCAUGGACGUCGGAAAGUUACCCAAAACGUCUAUCAAGCGAAGAUAAAGCCAGUUUCGAAUAGCAGAAAUCCAGCAGAAACCCUAUAAUCCGAAGCCUCACCGGAAUCGACUCGAGAACGUUGGAAAAAUAACCCAAAACGUUCGAGGGAAGAAGAUAUAUCCAGAUAUCACGCUGAAAGUCUCAGAUCAACAUCCGAUUUGGAUCGGAAUCAUCAUCGACCAAACACGUCAGAAACACCCCCAAAAAUUUCCAACGAGACUUCAACCGAGAUAACAAGAUGCAGGAAAGCAUCGUCGGAUCAUUGUCUAGGCUCUGAUACCAUGAAAACAUCAAGAAAUCCAGACGAAAUCGAAGAACAAGAUGAGAGAGAGUCGGUUAGGUAGAAGCUUCCAGAGAGCUUUUCUGAGAGAGAUAAUGUGAAUUGAAAAUGAAAA
rnacentral:lncRNA from 1 species